rnacentral:rRNA from 1 species
GUGAGGAAUAUUGCGCAAUGGAGGCAACUCUGACGCAGCCAUGCCGCGUGCAGGAAGAAGGCGCUACGCGUUGUAAACUGCUUUUAACCGGGAAGAAACCCCAGGACGUGUCCUGGGUUGACGGUACCGGAGGAAUGAGCACCGGCUAACUUCGUGCCAGCAGCCGCGGUAAUACGAAGGGUGCAAGCGUUAUCCGGAUUCAUUGGGUUUAAAGGGUGCGUAGGCGGAGCGUUAAGUCAGUGGUGAAAUCCUGCAGCUUAACUGUAGACUUGCCAUUGAUACUGGCGCUCUUGAGUGCGCUUGAAGUGGGCGGAAUGUGCCGUGUAGCGGUGAAAUGCUUAGAUAUGGCACAGAACACCAAUUGCGAAGGCAGCUCACUAAGGCGAUACUGACGCUGAGGCACGAAAGCGUGGGGAUCAAACAGGAUUAGAAACCCCAGUAGUCC